rfam:Gossypium arboreum cultivar AKA8401 contig_132420_1, whole genome shotgun sequence.
AAGCCAUGGUGAGGGCACCUUCUUAAAAGGUCCUUGUAUCUCUCCCAUGCAUCGUAGAGCGUUUCUAAAUCCAUCUGCACAAAAAAAAGAGAUAUCAUUACGUAAUUU